UUUUUUUAUUUUUUUUAUUUUUUUUCUAAUCAGAUGGCCCAGAAGAGGGGACAUGAUGGAUGAGAGCAUUAUUAGGAAGUUCUGAGAAGGAAAAAAGAGCCCUGCCAUCUGACUGCUUCAAACUAGUCUGAUGAAUGGCUCACUCAUGGUGGGCCCCCCCUAAAAGUGACCCAAGAUCUGCAUUUAUUCCACUUUCUUGGCUGAUGCCAAGCGUCGACCGGCUCCGUUCCUCUCACUUCCCGCCUAAAACUUAUCAACCUGAAAUUAUCCCAAAAGCAACCAACCCAGAACACCUUCUUGCUCCCUGCAGCUGCCCUGAAGCCGCUCAAGGUAAGGCCACGUGCUUGUGUAGGCCGUGCGAGCUCCUCACUCACCCAGAUGGCUCACUCUUCUCGCACGCAUGCCCUGCAUUUGCCGCAAAGGACCAAACUCAGGUUGGACGACGGAAGGGCCCCGGCCUGGCUGGCGGCGGUGCUUGCUCAGUGCUGGAGCGUACAGCUGUAGGCAGGCUCUCACUCCUGGCCCCGAGAGGGUGGUCGUAUUGCACUUCUCGGAUUCCUCUAGCUCCCCAGGAACAGCGUGCCCUGCCCCCCGGGGAACCCGUGCUGGUGACCAUCGUGGCUACAUCUGGAGCGAGCACCCUAACAGUUGGGAAGCAGCAGGAUCUCCACCAGGUUGAGAGGUUGUUGGCAAUGGGAAGACUCCAGCCCACACAUGCCCGGCAGAAACAGACUCUGCACCCUAGCCCGGCAUCCAGCAUGUUCCCUGAAAUGGCACUGCUCGGGGGAUGCUAUUAAAUAUGACAAAUAUGUUCACACCACGUCUGUGCAAUCUUUUGCGGCCUCUCGCUUGGAAUCAGGACAGUGUGCAACCUGUGUGCCUUGUGAUUUGGGGCGUAUGAUGACCUUGACGCUGUUCCCCACACCUUUCCCAAAGACACCUUCUGUUUUCCAGCCAUGACAAUAAAGCUCUGGCUCCCCAAACUUCCUGUCUUCUCAGUUGGAAGGUGUACAGUUGACCUCCCCGAGCCCUCACCACCACCGUUUCGUUCACAUGGACGCCCACCCAUACUUGCAGACAUGUGGUUUGGUGGUGCUUCCUAGAGAAUGCUCGCCAGUCCCGGCAGAUGGGGUGAAGGGGGUGUGUCUACACUCCUACUGGCGCGGUGGGGACCAUGUCCAGAGCCUACUGACAUUCUGUCCCUGUACUUCCCUGACUUCCAUGCCUGGUUCUAGGAUGGAAAGAGUGUUUCCUUUCGUUUCUAAUGCUGCCCCCAGCACACGGCCUGGGGCCAUGGAGAUGCUGGGUAAAAGGUUCCCUGAGUGAAUAAAUGGGUGAGUGUUUCAGUCGAAUGAGUGAAUGCAUACAUUGUUUGCCAUUUUCCAAGUCAGGGUGGUCAAGAAUGUAUGCAAUGGUGGAAAAGACAGUGACUCCUCAUCUACCUAACAUUUGCUUAAGAUUCAAUACUAUCAUAUUAGAGGGGUUUUUUUUCCCUUUUUUUUUUAAAUUUUUUAUUUAUUUAUGAUAGGCACACAGUGAGAGAGAGAGAGAGGCAGAGACACAGGCAGAGGGAGAAGCAGGCUCCAUGCACCGGGAGCCCGACGUGGGACUCGAUCCCGGGUCUCUAGGAUCGCGCCCUGGGCCAAAGGCAGGCGCUAAACCCCUGCGCCACCCAGGAAUUCCAUAUUAGAGGUUUUAAAAAUUUUUUUCAAUUUUGAAUCCAUGGAAAUGGCAUUUCCAUUAAAUAUAUAUUGAUGUUAUAUAUGCAUAUAUGUAUGUAUGAGAACAUUAUAUUUUCACAUAUAUGAUAAAUGUAAUAUAUACACAUAUGCAAUAUAUAAAAUAUGUAUGUAAAUAUAUAAAAAUCAAAAUUCUAUAAUCUGUGAUAUAUGUAAAGUAUAUAAAUUACAGAUUAUAACAUAUAGUUAU
rnacentral:lncRNA from 1 species